rnacentral:rRNA from 1 species
UACGGAGGGUGCAAGCGUUAUCCGGAUUUAUUGGGUUUAAAGGGUCCGUAGGCGGAUCUGUAAGUCAGUGGUGAAAUCUCACAGCUUAACUGUGAAACUGCUAUUGAUACUGCAGGUCUUGAGUGUUAUUGAAGUAGCUGGAAUAAGUAGUGUAGCGGUGAAAUGCAUAGAUAUUACUUAGAACACCAAUUGCGAAGGCAGGUUACUAAGCAACAACUGACGCUGAUGGACGAAAGCGUGGGGAGCGAACAGG